GAUGAACGCUGGCGGCGUGCCUAACACAUGCAAGUCGAACGUUAGGGUUUAGCAAUAGACCCAAAAGUGGCGAACGGGCGAGUAAUGUAUCGGAACGUGCCCAGUCGUGGGGGAUAACGUAGCGAAAGCUACGCUAAUACCGCAUACGAUCUGUGGAUGAAAGCGGGGGACCGUAAGGCCUCGCGCGAUUGGAGCGGCCGAUAUAAGAUUAGGUAGUUGGUGGGGUAAAGGCCUACCAAGCCGACGAUCUGUAGCUGGUCUGAGAGGACGACCAGCCACACUGGGACUGAGACACGGCCCAGACUCCUAUGGGAGGCAGCAGUGGGGAAUUUUGGACAGUGGGCGCAAGCCUGAUCCAGCAAUGCCGCGUGCAGGAUGAAGGCCUUCGGGUUGUAAACUGCUUUUGUACGGAACGAAAAGCCCUGGGUUAAUACCCUGGGGUCAUGACGGUACCGUAAGAAUAAGCACCGGCUAACUACGUGCCAGCCGCCGCUGUAACAC
rnacentral:rRNA from 1 species